rnacentral:rRNA from 1 species
CUGGUUGAUCCUGCCAGUAGUCAUAUGCUUGUCUCAAAGCUUAAGCCAUGCAAGUCUCAGUACAAGCCGAAUUAAGGUGAAACCGCAAAAUGCUCAUUAAAUCAGUUUUGGUUCACUAGUGCUGAACAUAUUUGUGUUGGACAACUGUGGUAAUUCUAGAGCUAAUACAUGCAACAAAGUCCCGACCAGUGAUGGAAAGGACGCUUUUAUUAGAUCAAAACCAAUCGGUACGGUUUCGCCGUACCGUUUGACUUCUGAUGACUCUGAAUAACCAAAGCGGAUCGCACGGUCAACGUACCGGCGACAAAUCUUUCAAAUGCCUGACUUAUCAACUGUCGAUGGUAGAUUCUACGUCUACCAUGGUAAUAACGGGUAACGGGGAAUCAGGGUUCGAUUCCGGAGAGGGAGCCUGAGAAACAGCUACCACAUCCAAGGAAGGCAGCAGGCACGCAAAUUACCCACUCCCGGCACGGGGAGGUAGUGACAAAAAAUAACGAUACGGGACUCAUCCGAGGCCCCGUAAUCGGAAUGAGUACACUUUAAAUCCUUUAACAAGGAUCCAUUGGAGGGCAAGUCUGGUGCCAGCAGCCGCGG